rnacentral:tmRNA from 1 species
GGGGCCGACUGGUUUCGACAUGGUAGGUUUGACAUGAGGAGCAGGUCGUGGUCUCCUCGCCACGUUAAACAGGGGUGAUGUCAAGUUAAUUGGCAAGACCAACACUGUUAAGAGCAGCUAUCAGCCGCUCGCCAUGGCCGCUUAGCAGCGCGCCAUCCGCCGAGCCCGGAAAUUCCCCGCUUCGGGCAAGGCGUCAUCUCAGGGGAACGCUCCUCGGCACGUAGCCGGUAUGGCCGAGGCUAAGACCGAACCGACUCGGGGCAUGGACGUCCGCUCGCUGACCGACAGGCCCUCAGACCUGAGAGCGAGCUAAGCCUGUAGCGCCUCAUGGACGAUCUAGUAUGGACCGGAGUUCGAUCCUCCGCGGCUCCACCA